UGGGGAAUUUUGGACAAUGGGCGAAAGCCUGAUCCAGCAAUGCCGCGUGUGUGAAGAAGGCCUUCGGGUUGUAAAGCACUUUUGUCCGGAAAGAAAUCCUUGGCUCUAAUACAGUCGGGGGAUGACGGUACCGGAAGAAUAAGCACCGGCUAACUACGUGCCAGCAGCCGCGGUAAUACGUAGGGUGCAAGCGUUAAUCGGAAUUACUGGGCGUAAAGCGUGCGCAGGCGGUUUGCUAAGACCGAUGUGAAAUCCCCGGGCUCAACCUGGGAACUGCAUUGGUGACUGGCAGGCUAGAGUAUGGCAGAGGGGGGUAGAAUUCCACGUGUAGCAGUGAAAUAGCGUAGAGAUGUGGAGGAAUACCGAUGGCGAAGGCAGCCCCCUGGGCCAAUACUGACGCUCAUGCACGAAAGCGUGGGGAGCAAAACAGGAUUAGAUACCCUGGUAGUCCACGCCCUAAAACGAUGUCAACUAGUUGUUGGGGAUUCAUUUCCUUAGUAACGUAGCUAACGCGUGAAGUUGACCGCCUGGGGAGUACGGUCGCAAGAUUAAAACUCAAAUGAAUUGACGGGGUCAUAGCUGUUUCCU
rnacentral:rRNA from 1 species